rnacentral:rRNA from 1 species
GAUGAACGCUGGCGGCGUGCCUAAUACAUGCAAGUCGAGCGAACGGACGAGAAGCUUGCUUCUCUGAUGUUAGCGGCGGACGGGUGAGUAACACGUGGAUAACCUACCUAUAAGACUGGGAUAACUUCGGGAAACCGGAGCUAACACCGGAUAAUAUUUUGAACCGCAUGGUUCAAAAGUGAAAGACGGUCUUGCUGUCACUUAUAGAUGGAUCCGCGCUGCAUUAGCUAGUUGGUAAGGUAACGGCUUACCAAGGCAACGAUGCAUAGCCGAGCUGAGCGGGUGAUCGGCCACACUGGAACUGAGACACGGUCCAGACUCCUACGGGAGGCAGCAGUAGGGAACCUUCCGCAAUGGGCGAAAGCCUGACGGAGCAACGCCGCGUGAGUGAUGAAGGUCUUCGGAUCGUAAAACUCUGUUAUUAGGGAAGAACAUAUGUGUAAGUAACUGUGCACAUCUUGACGGUACCUAAUCAGAAAGCCACGGCUAACUACGUG